ACCUACCGCCAUACCACCCUGAACACACCCGAUCUCGUCUGAUCUCGGAAGCUAAGCAGGGUCAGGCCUGGUUAGUACUUGGAUGGGAGACCGCCUGGGAAUACCAGGUGCUGUAGGCU
rnacentral:rRNA from 1 species